AAUUUUCACUGUAUACUAAGCAGGUACAUUAUACAGUGAACAGAGAGAGGGAACAGAAAACAAAGGUCUCCAAAGUUAGUCUAUGGAAUCUAGCAGGAGAUCUCAAUAAUUGACCUAUUUAAAGAUUAUAAUUCUUCAGAUUUGUAUAAAGUCCCAAGACGUAUUAAUACUGAAAUUUCCCAAGUACUAGGAUGGAACCCAGGCCUUCACACAGAGCUGCAUCCCUCGUCCCUACCCCUAUCCCCCAGUCUUUUUAAACUUUGAGAGAGUAUCUCACUGAAUCAGUUGCCCAGGCUGGGCUUCACCUUGCAAUCCUCCUGUCUCAGCCUGCCAGAGUGCUGGUCCACAGUUUGAAGAAUCAGCCCACAGCCUUUCCUGACCCCAGGAGUGUGUCAUUUCUGUACUACUCUACCCUUCGGGAUUGAACUCAGGACCUCGUGCUUGUGAGGCAGGCAUGGUGCCACUGAGGUAAAUCCCCACCCUGGAGUCUGGAUGAAGAACAGAUGCUGGCAAUUCUUAGCUCGUUCUAUGCGAGAGUCUGGAAUCUCUGCUGGACCCAACACAUGGUAUCAUUUGGCGAGCUAGUCAGGAGACAUCAGCAGCCAGAAGCAGCCCAGCCAGAAAGGAAGGGUAAAACCCAAGCUGCCUGAGACACCAGAAAAUGAAAAAGAGAGAACACAAACCUUGAACACCUGUGAGCCAUGGAACGACCUCAAGUUUCCUUUCAGAAAAGAAAACACCAACCAACCUGUUCAGCCACAUAGGUGAAAGUUGGGUUGUUCCCUUCCCACAACCUUACCAAGGAGUCUCAGUUGGAAUCCUGCUGCACAUACACAGCUGUCUUAGCAAGAAGUCUCAGAGCAUCAUUCGCUCUGCUCUCCCAGCCUGAUAAGGUGCACUCACAGAGGGAGUGAGAGUAUUCCAACAUCAGGUCUCAGUGAACUUUGGAGACAGAAUGAAUUUGCAAAAUCCAGCAGUAUUUCCUUCAUAUUGGUGAACCAGGUCUCUGCCUUCAGCCCAGGACUUUAGAGAGCCUCGAGUAUCAGAAACACAUAAAAAAAUACAUUUAUGAGGGAACAAAUGGCCCCUCUACCACUUGGGACCCAGCAGUCGGAGUUGGCAUUGUGUGAG
ensembl:lncRNA